GCUAAACGCGAAGAACCUUACCUGGCCUUGACAUCCAUGGAAUCCCGAAGAGAUUUGGGAGUGCCGCAAGGAACCAUGAGACAGGUGCUGCAUGGCUGUCGUCAGCUCGUGUCGUGAGAUGUUGGGUUAAGUCCCGCAACGAACGCAACCCUUGUCCUUAGUUGCCAUCAUUAAGUUGGGAACUCUAAGGAGACCGCCGGUGACAAACCGGAGGAAGGUGGGGAUGACGUCAAGUCAUCAUGGCCUUUAUGGCCAGGGCUACACACGUGCUACAAUGGCAGGUACAGAGGGAAGCCAACCAGCAAUGGGGAGCCAAUCCCAGAAAGCCUGUCUUAGUCCGGAUUGCAGUCUGCAACUCGACUGCAUGAAGUUGGAAUCGCUAGUAAUCGCAGAUCAGCAUUGCUGCGGUGAAUACGUUCCCGGGUCUUGUACACACCG
rnacentral:rRNA from 1 species